UACGGAGGGGGCUAGCGUUGUUCGGAAUUACUGGGCGUAAAGCGCACGUAGGCGGCUUUGUAAGUUAGAGGUGAAAGCCCGGGGCUCAACCCCGGAAUUGCCUUUAAGACUGCAUCGCUUGAAUCGCGGAGAGGUGAGUGGAAUUCCGAGUGUAGAGGUGAAAUUCGUAGAUAUUCGGAAGAACACCAGCGGCGAAGGCAGCAACUUGGUCUGGUAUUGACGCUCAGGCA
rnacentral:rRNA from 1 species